AUUGAACGCUGGCGGCAGGCCUAAAACAUGCAAGUCGAGCGGGGCGGCGGACGGGUGAGUAAUGCCUAGGAAUCUGCCUGGUAGUGGGGGAUAACGUCCGGAAACGGGCGCUAAUACCGCAUACUAUCAGAUGAGACUAGGUCGGAUUAGCUAGUUGGGGGGGGAAAGGCAUACCAAGGCGACGAUCCGUAACUGGUCUGAGAGGAUGAUCAGUCACACUGGAACUUAGACACGGUCCAGACUCCUCCGGGAGGCAGCAGUGGGGAAUAUUGGACAAUGGGCGAAAGCCUGACCCAGCCAUGCCGCGUGUGUGAAGAAGGUCUUCGUAUUGUAAAGCACUUUAAGUUUGGAGGCGUUACCAACAGAAUAAGCACCGGCUAACUUCGUGCCAGCAGCCGCGGUAAUUC
rnacentral:rRNA from 1 species